rnacentral:rRNA from 1 species
UGCCAGCCGCCGCGGUAAUACGAAGGGCCCUAGCGUAGUUCGGAAUUACUGGGCUUAAAGAGUUCGUAGGUGGUUGAAAAAGUUGGUGGUGAAAUCCCAGAGCUUAACUCUGGAACUGCCAUCAAAACUUUUCAGCUAGAGUAUGAUAGAGGAAAGCAGAAUUUCUAGUGUAGAGGUGAAAUUCGUAGAUAUUAGAAGGAAUACCAAUGGCGAAGGCAGCUCUCUGGCUCGUCACUGACGCUGAGGUGCGAAAGCGUGGGUAGCAAACAGGAUUAGAUA